AGCGCGAGGCGUGACCUAGUUGACAGGCUCUGAGGUGCUGCUGUGGCGGCGUCCGCGGGGCUGAGGCGGGUGGGAGCCGGAGCCGAGCGCGGGCUGAGGGAGGGCGGCGACUGGAGAGCGGCGAGCGGCGAGCAGCGCAGGACGCGGAGCCUCUUUCACUUUUUCCCUGCUGAGUGCCCCCUCCCACCCCUCCCACUCCACACACACCCUGUUUGCCCGUGAGCCUGGGGAACUUGCAGCUUAAAGCCAGCCACCCCCACGGCAACAUGUACCCCAGCAACAAGAAGAAAAAGGUGUGGAGAGAGGAGAAAGAACGUUUACUGAAGAUGACCUUAGAAGAGAGACGCAAAGAAUACCUAAGAGACUAUAUUCCCCUGAACAGCAUUCUAUCAUGGAAGGAGGAGAUGAAGGGCAAGGGCCAAAAUGAUGAAGAAAAUACUCAGGAAACAUCCCAGGUGAAGAAAAGUUUGACUGAAAAAGUUUCUCUCUAUAGAGGUGACAUCACAUUGCUAGAGGUAGAUGCUAUAGUCAAUGCCGCAAAUGCCAGUCUUCUUGGAGGAGGAGGUGGUAAGUCCCGAACAUCACUUAACUUAAAAUACAUUUUAAUUGUUAUACCAACUACAAGAUAUUUAGUAAGUUCUGUGACACUUAAAAGAAAAUUAAUUUUGCUGUAGUCAUCAACCACAAAAAUGUUAAUCUUCCAAAAAUAAUUUAUAACAUAAAUACCUUGGUUUACUUAAAUACUGUUUUAAUUGACUUCGAGAUAUAUACAGUACUCUUCUUGUCAAACUCUGUAUUUCUACUUUUGGCAUAAGGUGUAACAGCUAUAAGCUAUACAAACACACAUGUAAUACGUGUGUACAUAUUACAGAGUUACUUUUAAUAUGAAUUCUAAAACAACAGAACAUUUGGAGGCUAUGGUUUCUUUUUCCACUAUAAUGACUUUCUUUUGCUUUUCAUGACUUUGUAGCCUGAGAGCUUAAUAUAUCAGCCACUUACUUUGAAAAAUAAAAAAGAAAUUACUGUUGACACUCUGCUUUUUCUUUAUGCUCAGUUAGAGGAGAAAGAGAAGGAGAUCAAAGUGAGCUGAGGGAGACAGAGAUUCCUGUACUGGGAAUUUUUUU
rnacentral:sRNA from 1 species